rnacentral:rRNA from 1 species
CCUACGGGGGGCAGCAGUAGGGAAUAUUGCUCAAUGGGGGAAACCCUGACGCAGCAACGCCGCGUGGAGGAUGAAGGUUUUCGGAUUGUAAACUCCUUUUGUUAGAGAAGAUAAUGACGUUAUCUAACGAAUAAGCACCGGCUAACUCCGUGCCAGCAGCCGCGGUAAUACGUAGGGUGCAAGCGUGACUCGGAAUCACUGGGCGUAAAGCGCGCGGAGGCGGGAUAACAAGUCAGAUGUGAAAUCCUAUGGGUUAACCAUAGAACUGCAUUUGAAACUGUUAUUCUAGAGUAUGGGAGAGGCAGGUGGAAUUAUUGGUGUAGGGGUAAAAUCCGUAGAGAGAAAGAGGAACACUAAUUGCGAAGGCGACCUGCUAGAACAAAACUGACGCUGAUGCGCGAAAGCGUGGGGAGCAAACAGGAUUAGAUACCCUUGUAGUC